AUAAUGAGUAAUUAAAUGUAAAUUACAAGGUAAUAACAUAAAAGUAAAUUACAAGAUAAAAAAUGACAAUAUCACAAUAAUAAUGGAUAAUGAUAAACAAAAUUAGUGAAGUAUAAUUAGUGGUUAGUAAUAUAUAAAAAAUAAACAUUUUUUAAGACUAUUUCCUAGGCCAAAAAGACUUAAAAUAUGACACAUUAAGGGAUAGUUUAUCAUUGAUGCAAAGUAUUGAAGAUGAUU
rnacentral:lncRNA from 1 species